AGUGAACGCUGGCGGCAGGCCUAAUACAUGCAAGUCGAACGGCAGCACAGCAGAGCUUGCUCUGUGGGUGGCGAGUGGCGGACGGGUGAGGAAUACGUGGGAAUCUGCCCAGUCGUGGGGGAUAACGUAGGGAAACUUACGCUAAUACCGCAUGCGCCCUUCGGGGGAAAGCCGGGGACCUUCGGGCCUGGCGCGAUUGGAUGAGCCCACGUCGGAUUAGCUAGUUGGCGGGGUAAAGGCCCACCAAGGCGACGAUCCGUAGCUGGUCUGGGAGGAUGAUCAGGCACACUGGAACUGAGACACGGUCCAGACUCCUACGGGAGGCAGCAGUAGGGAAUAUUGGACAAUGGGCGCAAGCCUGAUCCAGCCAUGCCGCGUGAGUGAAGAAGGCCCUCGGGUUGUAAAGCUCUUUUGUCCGGAAAGAAAAGCGCCGGGUUAAUACCCUGGUGUCCUGACGGUACCGGAAGAAUAAGCACCGGCUAACUUCGUGCCAGCCGCCGCAGUAAAAC
rnacentral:rRNA from 1 species